CCAAACACAUGGGAAGUACUUCAUAUUUUACAAAAAAUUAUAAUUAUUUAAUUACUAGAUCAUUUUAAAUUGAUAUUUAUCAUUUUUUAAAUUUUGUUAAACCAAGCAAAGGUAUUAUCCCAGUGAAAUGAUUUAGUAUAAGUAUAGAACUUCUACAAAACAAAAGAGCAUAUUGGUAGAUAAAUGUACUAUAUAUGUUGUACAAAUAUAAAUUAUAUAUGCAUGAUUGCAAUGUAAUUACAAGAUUUGAAAAAAUCAAUCAAUACAAUUUGCUCAAAAAUGUGAUUAAAGAAAUAGGAAAGUGACAUAAAAAACUAACCUCAGAAUUAGUCAGGAGCACGCAGUAAUGAAAAAGAGAAAAGCAGAGACUUUAAAACUUUUAAAGAUACUUAAAGAUACAUUAUUGUAUCACAGCAUAUUAUUAUUGUCAUUUAUAUAUCCAAAUUACAUCCAAUGAGAUAAUCAUUGAGUCAUAACACAACUUAAAUUUAAGAAAUUAUUGACUGAAAAAAAUCAGAGAAAGAUGCAAUAUACCUUAAUAUACAUACAUAACAUAAUCUUACUUUGUACAUUAUAAAAGAUAAUAAAAUAUAGUUAUGUGUGAAUAUUAAGAAGAUCAUGGAAAAAAAAAAGAAAAAAGAAAAAAUAAAAAAAAAAAAAAGAAAAAAAAAAUGUUCAUUUUUAAUGAUUCUUGGGAAAAAGCUACCAUUUACCACAAUGUUCUACUAAACCACAACCAAUACAAGCAUAAAAAGAAUUGGAAUGUACCUGAAUCUUUAUCAACAUCUUCAUGCAUAAAA